ensembl:lncRNA
GCACCUUGGUUGGCUUCGGGGGCAGAGACAGAGUACCACCUCAUGGCAACAGAAAUUUCUUUUCCUGCAGUUCUGGAGGCUGGAGUGCUUCCCUGAUGUCUCACACAGAAAACCAUCUGCCUGCAACUGGACCCCUGGCUCCUGGCUGUGGAUCCUGACCCCCCCACUUGGACAAACAUCUUGCGGCCGUUUCCUCCUCGCCUGCCUGGAGCCCCGGCCCGGCCUGAACAAACACUCGGGACCUGUGCUUCCGGCCUCAGCUCUGGGAAAAGCCCGGCCAGGGGCCGCUGAGGCAGGAUCUGGGAGUGGAAACAAUGGAAUUAAUGUCUGUAAGGGUUUUGGUGGGGUGUUUUUUUCUUUUUCUUUUUCUUUUUUUUUUCCUUUGGAGCAGUUUUUCCUCAUCUGCGGGGUUGGAUUCCCACCUCAACUUCCGGUCUUUGGAGGAGCCGCUGGCAGGAGAGGAUGGGCGUGGGCGCGGGGUGGGGGGCGGUCAGGAAGGGGAGAGCUGGGUGGCGGGGCGAGGAGGAAGGCAGGGCUCCUUCUCGCCCCUGGGUCUUUGCAUCGGCUGUGCCCCCUCACCUCAGCCCCUGCCCCUGUUGGUAGCCUGGUGCCUCCUCCAGGAAGCCCUCCCUG